UCAGUGUCAAGCCUCUUCCUUCCU
rnacentral:siRNA from 1 species